GUAUUGUUGUAAUUAAACGGAAUGGAACUGAUGGAAUUAGUUUUCCACUCACUGAAAGUUCUUGCUUAUUUGGAAGGAGAACAGAAUGUGAUAUUCGCAUCCAGUUGCCUCAGGUCUCAAAAGAGCAUUGUAAAAUUGAAGUAAAUGAAAACAAGGAGGCGAUACUGACUAAUUUAAGUACAGUGAAUCCUACAAAGCUGAACGGAGGGUGUUUUCAGCAGCCUGUUCCUCUGAAGCAUGGAGA